rnacentral:lncRNA from 1 species
UUUCAUUCGCAACCUCGUUAUUGCACUAGCACCAACAAUAAAAUAACUACUAAUUUUGGUAACUGUUGUUAACUUUUCUUGUAUUAGUGUGGUUGAAAGGAAAUUUAUAUUAAAAAGUAACACACCCAAUUUCCUUUUCGUUAUCUUCAUGUAAAGGCCAAUGGUGGAUGAUGGAUCCCAUCCCAUGCAUCACAUGGAUGACUAAUGAACUUUUAUAAUCUCGACUGAUCGAUAUCGUCUUAUCAUUAUCUAAGCAGUUUAGUUUUCAAACAUGAUUACGUAAUAAACAAUAUCCUUUUAUCUUGGGUAAAGUCUAAAGCCAGAAAUAGUUUAUUCAGCUGCUACCUAACUUUAAUUUUAUAUAUGCAAUUGUUAACCAUUGCCAUUAUUCUUCAUGUUUUAUACGAUUUUCUAAAUUAUUCAAAAUUACAAGAAGAAGAAUUCUAAGUACAAAAAAAAUGAAUAUAUAGUUCUAACAAACUAGCUUAUAACUCACAUAUACGUUACAACUCCUGGAUGGUUUUGUUCAGCUAACGCUUACUUUUUUACAAACUAAUCUUUCUUUCUCUAUGCUCUUACUCUAUCUGGAAAUACUUGAUCCAAAUAAUUGAUUAGAAGCAGCUAAUUAAUUGGUUGCCGAAUCAGAUUACUCAUAUGCAAGAACUUAAAUGGUAGAUAUUUUGACAGGCCAUGAGGGGAACUGAUGGGAACACCAUACAUAUUCAAACAAAUGAUAUUACUGAGUCAUGACCCACUUCGAACAGAAUUUGGUUGCUUAAUUUGUCAAAUAUGUGAUGACCUGUGCUUCAUUACAAAAUUCAAGACGUGAUGUUUAUAGGCUACAUUCAAUAUACGAUCGAGAAAUAAUUCACAAACGCGAACUGGUUCUGCUUGGAGUGACCCUCAAGGUGUCUCCACCAGAAUGGACUUUAUAACUACGUUAAAUAAUUUGGUCUCUUGGAAUUUUGGUUAAUUUGAUUGAGUACGAUCUCCAUCAAAGACUCUUCUUCAAGACUUUAGACACCCUGGUGGCUGGUGCUCAGAGUUCAACCACGUACGUCAAAACAAAAGAAAAAAAAAUGAUUUGGAAACAUUUGAAAGAAAUAAAAAUCACUAUAUACGUUGCCCAAUUAGUGAGAUUCGUAAAUAUACUCAAGAAGGCAAUUAAUUAGAAAACCUGAUUUUAAACAAGUAGUUACGAUAUCAUUAUUAUUUGAAAUUAAUUUUCAUUUUUAGGUGAGUUUUUGCUCACCUCUUAAUUAUGGUGUAGCGUUUCUUUUCUUUGUGUUUUUCUUAUGACAAAAACGGACUUCUUUUUGCCCUCCAAUUUAAUUGUUAAUCGCUAUAAAAGUAGUUUGCAUUCCAAGUUAAUGUGACAUCUGUUUCUCUCUCACUUUUCUCUUUAUUUCUCAAGACAAACAAGAUACUAACAAUGAGCAUAUAUUGUCCUAAUUGCCUCCUCCUAGUCCUCACCGCCUUGUUGUAUCUUUUCGUUGCUAUCACCGCGUUUGGAGUAGGAGGAGGAGAAGAGCACCUUUACCCUCCCAAGUACCCUCCUCUAAGGGGUGGGUAUUUCCCCUUUGACAACCUGAACGACCCACGUUUGAGGGAGAUCGCAGAGUUCGCCAUUUCCAAGUACAACAAGAUUCAUGACCAAAAACUAGUGUUGCAAAAGUUGGUUCAUGGACAGUUCCAAAUAGUGGAGGGAACCAAUUACAAGCUUGUCAUUUCGGUUCUCAAUUCUUCCAAGAUCUUUAGCGGCCCAAUCAACUAUGAGAUCAUUGUGUUCGAAAAUCUUUGGAGGACUAUUAAGGAACUGAAGUCCUUUGUUCGAGUCCAAAUUAAUAAAACUUAAAUCCAGUCCACCUUAUUUUUAAGGUUUCUGGAGUCCUUUCUCAUUUCUUUCUUAUAUUUUUUAGAGCAUUAUCAACUAAUAAUAUAUAAGUUACUUUCACAUGAUGCAUUAUGAGUUCGAUUUUUUGUGUUAGUUAAUCAUGCGAAGGUGGCCAAAGAGAGGCUAAAAUGUCUUUGUGAGUCUUCCCGACUUCCGAAAUGAAUGAUUACCGUGGUGAAGCCACCAACUAGUCCUCUUUUUCUAAAUAAAAAAACAACAUAAUACAAACACAGUUUGGAAACAACUCAAUUUCAUUACUUUUCUCAUAUUCUCCUUUACUCACUCUUUUUUGUUCGAUGGCAAAUAAUUUUAUCGUUUGUGAAAUAACCAACAAAACGAUAUAAGAACAUGAAAAAAUUAAACUAAUUAACAAUCUCGCAUGUAAAAAAGUAAAUUUUUUUUGGGGGUAAAGACCGUGAAGUGUCUGCACACCCGAAAAGUGUGACCAAUAUCUACUCAAGGUUUGGCUUGACACUGGCCACAAAGUGCUUUCGUAAAAUUUCUGGCAAAUAUAAAAAACGACACGUAGUUUUCUUUUUGUUCAUGUUUGUUUCGUCCAUAUAAUUUGGUGAAGCUUUUGACGUCAAAAAGAGGAAGGGCUAAAUUUUAGUAGAUGAUGCAAAAAAGGAUAGUGACAUUGAUCCAUAAGAAGCUCAACAAACUCUUGAAAUACCGGAAGCUAAUUUGAGGAAAGCUAAAGGCAGGAGACAAACAAUUGAAGUUAAUUUGUUAAACCCUCCGUGCCUUUCCUUUUUAGUCAUUAAAACCCACAAAACAAAAGAAAUAAUAUCAUUUUUGUUGUAGGCCUAUUUGAUUGAAAGAUUUAAGGUUUAGAGAGAGAGAUAGGGGUUCGGCAAUAUUGAGAGAGAAGAGAGAUUGAUUUAAUUGUGAGGUGUGUUUGAUUCACCCCAUUGUGCCUUUAUUUAUAGUAGUAGGAAGGGUAAAACCUUUCCCUUUAGAAUUACAAUAUUUAAUAGAUAAUCUAAUCUUAAUAGGAAUAUAAGAUAUUUUCCCAUAUUCCCUAGGAUUUACACAAUCACAUUCCUAUUCUAAAUAUGACUGCAACACUCCCCCUUAAGUGUGUAAAUACUCAACAAAUCAUCCCAUCAGAUCUUCAGCAGAUAAGGUAGAAUAGUUGAUGAAGUCAUCGGCACAACGGGUGAUCGCGAGUCUCAAAUUUAAGUGAAGUAUGCAUUUGUAGUAAAACUCACAAAACCUCGUUAUGGUAAAACCCAAUGCAUGGGGAAAACCCAUAGACUAAGGAGAAGAGUGAGAAGUAUGAUCAUCCCAUGAUGGGUGCCUCAUUAAAACCUCGUUAGGUAGCAAAACCCAGUGGAAAAAAUGCUUCUAAUCGUAGGGAAAAUAGUACAGUAAGAUCAUGUGAGUAUGCUUCUAGAUACUCUCCUUAAGUUAGACAUAACUUCUAAAUAAGAGAACUACAAACGAUGCAACUUAGAUAAUUUACGCAUAUCGAUUCCUUGGAUGGGUUUCUGAAAUGUAGACUUGGGCAAUAACUUGGUAAAGAGAUCGGCCAGGUUGUCCUGGGAACGGAUUUGCUUGACUUCAAUGUUCUGAUGUUGUUGUUGCUGGUGUGAUUAAAAGAACUUUCAUAAUAUGUGCUUGGUGUUGUCUCUUUUGAUGUAUCCCUUCUUCAGCUGCUCGAUACAUGCUGCAUUGUCUUCAAAGAUCAUCGUAGGAAGGUCAACGACUGAUGUAAGACCACUAGUGCUUCGAAUAUGUUCCAUAACUUCUCUUAGCCAAAAGCACUCACGCGAUGCUUCAUGUAGGGCGAGAAUCUCAGCAUGGUUAGACGAAGUCGCAACUUGCGUUUUCUUGGUAGACUUCCAAGAUAUAGCGGUGUCUCCAACGGUAAAGACAUAACCUGUUGAGAACGUGCUAUAUGUGGGUUAAACAGAUAUCCAGCAUCUGCAUAACCAACAAGGCGAGAAUCAUUCCGAGGGCCAUAGAGGGCGACAACACUUGGAGAUUAGCGAGUAUAGAACAAACCCAAAUUCGUAGUACCUUUGAGGUAGCGAAAAAUGUCUUUAACACCAUUCCAGUGCCUGCAUUUGGGUGCAUUGUUGUAUCUAGCCAAUAGAUUCACAGAGAAUGAGAUGUCAGCUCUAAUGCAUUGAGUCAAGUACAAUAAAGCCCCAAUUGCACUUAAGUGAGGAACUUCGGGUUCCAAAAUCUCUUCCUCAUCCUCCUUUGGACUGAAGGGAUCUCGUUUAGCAUCUAGAGUUUGAACAACCAUACGUGUACUCGAAGGCUUCGCUUUAUCUUCAUUAAAACGUCAUAACACCUUUUGGGUGUAGUUCGAUUGAUGUACUAGGAUUCCAUCCGAACAAUGCUCGAUUUCCAGGCCGAGGCAAUAUCGAGUUUUCUAAGAUCCUUUACCUCAAAUUCUGAUUUCAAGUGUGUAGCAAUUUCCUCAAUCUCUGCGGCAGUCCCAAUGUGGUUCAUGUCAUCGACAUAAACUGCAAUGAUUGCAAAUCCGGAAUCUUGAAAAGCUGCAAUCUGCCUCGAUUGUCAUCCACCAUUCUUGUUUUAAAAAUUAAAUUAAAUCAGAAAUUAACAUUUUGUAAAUUUCAAGAAAUUUUAUUCUGUUGAUGCACAAAAUCAGCGAAGACUUUGGUACAACAGAAAGUGUCAGGUUUUGUGACCUUCGCUUGGUUGCUUCGGUCACUAGUGAGGAUAAGUACGUAAAUGAAUAGAGACAGAGAAGCAAACACAGGAUGUACGUGGUUCACCCAGAUUGGCUACGUCCACGGAGUAGAGGAGUUCUUAUUAGUAGUGAAGGGCUUACACAAGUACAAAGGAUCAAGCUCUCAAUUUAGUGAGUUCUUGUGAAUGAUUUAACACAAAAUGGCAUUAGGCAAUAUUGUGGGGGAAUGACCCCUAUUUAUAGAAAAACUUGUAGCUUUGUCACAUUGACAUGUGUCAUGUUAUGAUUGGUUCUUGAUGUCGACACGUGCUGCGCUCUGAUUGGCUUCUAAUCUUGACACGUGUCGAGUAGUGAUUGGCCUCCUGGUCGGAGGGGAACUCUUCUGGGUCCUUGACAGUAUAGCGUUGGCCGGUGCUCGGUAGUUUCGGGAUUGGUCAAGUAUGGUACAAACAGUGCUCCCCUAAGUUCCCGAGUGAGGGAAACUCCUCGGUUGGGGACUUGCAAGAUCCAAUCCCUUGAGUAAUCACGAAACUUCUAAGUACCGAAGUGUGGUCUGAUCUUCAUCUGCCCUUCUCUGGAAGUACCUUUCCUCCAUCCGGGAAUGGUGUACUUUAGCUGAUGUUGACGCACAAGGUAAUGUAUCAAUUUCACUUGAAGCUUAGUUGUAGUUUCGGGCUUAGUCAAGUGUGAUACAAACCCUAUAGUAGGAGUCCCCCAAGUCGCCGAGCUAGGAGAUCUGCCGAAAGAGGUGACAGACAAGGUAAGCAGUCAAACUUCCAAGUAAGCAACCCAGGAUCAGAGGUUUGACUUCGGCUUCCGGUUGAUUGUUCUCCUUCUCCUUGUCUCUCAUUCAACUGCCAGGAUAAGGAGAAGCAAAUGGAUAAGAGAUGAUAUGAGAUACUUUUGCUUUUGAAGAAGUAACUUUCCACAGGCUUAUUCUUGAACUGUGCUGGAGGGUUUUCUGGUGCCCUUCAGAGUAUAAGGCCGACUCAAAAAUUUGAGGGUCAAAACAAGUCCAUCAAAUCUAGAGUACGUUCGACCUUGAUGAUAUGGGAUACUUUUGCUGUUGACGGAAUAAUGAAUGUGGUAUGGAAAGGUGUCGUGCUGUAGUGAUCUGUUUCAGCUCACCGUUGAACCUUCUGCUUCAAUCUUUUGCAUGGCAGAAGUGGUGUGCAACCUUUGCAUUUAAAUGGUCCUUCAGAACAUUCCUUCAUAGUGACUCAUCCACGCUUGGCAGCUUCAGUGUAAAGAGCCAAUAUCUGAUCAACUGUCAUGAGGUAUUUGCCGGUGGAAUUCGUGACCUUGACAGCAGUUGAGGAUGAGUACUCGAGAGCAAUGCUAAGUAAGCAACCAGGCAAAGGCUCCAGGCAGUCAGUUCCAAAUUGGAGGUUUGAUUUCAGGUUCCGACUGACUGCUCUCUUUCUCCUUGUCCUGCAGGUGUGGACAAGGACAAAGACAAAGACAGGGAGAAAGCAUGAUAUGGGAUACUCUUGCUUUCGACCCUGAUGAUAUGAGAUACUCUUGUUCUUGGUGUGGCUUAUUUGCUGAGGUAUUAUCGGGGGGAAAUAAAGCUGAGUAUUUCGAGAGGUUAUGUUGAGGGUGCCUUUUCGAAUGCGAGAAAGGGUUGAGCAUUUUUGCAGGUUUGCCUGUCCGUUGAGGAGGGAGGUCAAUGUAUAUAGGGAUUUCCCAAUAACAAGUAGUAAUGCUAUUCCUUUACCCUUCUUGGUCACAGCAAUGUAGUGGGAGCUGCCAGCUUCACGUGUUUUAAUUUUGUCAGAGCACUUUGAAAAAGUGGUAUGUGGUAUCUGGAAAGCUGAUAUUACGUGUGAAGAUUACAGACAAGCUUUAUCUAAGGAAAUCUGGCUCUCGAAGUUCUGAGAGUUGUGCCUCUUCGGUUUUCGAACAAGCAAUCCCGUCGAGGAUCUGACUCUCGAGAUUCGGAAAGCGGUGCUACUCCGGUUUUUGAGAAAGUAAUUAUGUUGGGAGUCUUUUCUCUCGAAUGUGAGUAAAGGUUGGACGUUCUUGCCAACCUGUCUUGCCGCAAAACACGGAGGUCGACACACAUAGGGACUUUCCAGUUGUCAAGCAGUGGUGCUGUUCCUUUACCCUUAUGGGUAAUAGUAGGGUAGCUGGAACUUCGAAAUUCUCGUGCCUAAACUUUGUCAGAGAUCUUUGACAAAGUUAUAUGUGGUACCCGAGGAGUUGAUGGUGCAUAUGGAGAGCGGUGAUUGAACAGUAAGAUUCACGUGCUUUCUACUUCACCAGAAAUCUUCGACAGAUUGCCCGUAAUUUCCGCAAAGCUGAUUGUGCAUGUGACAGGUGCUGACGAGGCUGAAAAAGCAGGUGCUUCUUCGAUUUCUGAGAUCGGCCCUCGUGGUCUCUGAGCAGCCCAGCUUUUGAGAAAGCAAACGCCUCUUCGAUUUCUGAGAUCGGCCCUCGUGGUCUCUGAGCAGCCCAGCUUUUGAGAAAGCAAACGCCUCUUCGAUUUCUGAAGCUCCGUCGAGUGCAGAUUUUUAUAGAGGCUGGCAUUAAGUUCCACAGCACACUUGAAUCUCUACCAGUAGAAGCUCAUUUCUUGCACUUCUAAGAUCUUGAUUUGUCUGACCUCUUCCUUCUUCAACACAUUUGAAAAUGUCUGGACCCUCCGACCGUCGUUUUGACUUGAACCUUGGAGAAGAGACAGCCACGCCUUCUCCAGACAACAUAUGGCGCCCAUCCUUCAUAUCCCCUACUGGUCCUCUUACCGUUGGGGAUUCUGUGAUGAAGAAUGAUAUGACCGCUGCAGUGGUGGCCAGGAACCUUCUCACUCCCAAAGAUAACAGACUACUUUCCAAACGGUCUGAUGAGUUGGCUGUUAAGGACUCUCUGGCUCUUAGUGUUCAGUGUGCAGGUUCUGUGUCUAAUAUGGCCCAACGCCUAUUUGCUAGAACCCGCCAAGUUGAAUCAUUGGCUGCUGAAGUGAUGAGUCUCAAACAGGAGAUUAGAGGGCUCAAGCAUGAGAAUAAGCAGUUGCACCGGCUCGCCCAUGACUAUGCUACAAACAUGAAGAGGAAGCUUGACCAGAUGAAGGAAUCUGAUGGUAAGGUUUUACUUGAUCAUCAGCGGUUUGUGGGUUUGUUCCAAAGGCAUUUAUUGCCUUCGUCCUCUGGGGCUGUACCUGGUAAUGAAGCUUCAAAUGAUGAACCUCCAAUGCCUCCUCCUUCUGGGGUUUUGUCAAGUACUGAGGCUCCGGAUAACCACCCUCCGGUGCUUUCUCUUUCUGGGGCUCUACCGACUGCUGAGACUUCCCCUAAGCAACCUUUGUGAAGGCUCCCUUUUGUUUGUUUAUUUUGACUCAUGUAUAUGUACAUAUUUGUGGCUUAUCGAAAAUAUUAAUAAAUAAGCUUUGCUUCAUUUCAACAUAUUGUGUUAAAUACACCAAAGCCUUCUUCAUAAAGUUCUUUGAAUUUUUGCUUUUGUUGAAACCUGUAUUGUUGAAGCUUUGUGAGUGAAGCAUGUAGUUUGAGGUAGUGUUCCCUUAAUUUCCCGAGUGAGGAAAACUUCUCGGUUGGAGACUUGAAAAAUCCAAGUCACUGAGUGGUUGUGAGACUUUUGCCGAGUAUCCAAGGUGCGUAGUAGCAUAUGGUGGGAGUCCCCCAAGUCUUCAGGCGAAGAGAGUUGCCGAAUGAGGUGUCUCGCGUGUUACUAAUGUUGUCAAAGUAACGAAUUCCUUGUUUCGAUUUGUCACACAUUCGUAUAUGCUUUAUCUAAAAAAUAUUUCCAACUUUUGUGUGUUUGAUGCUGCAUGCUAUUGACUAGACAAAAAGAUCAAAUGUGCAAUUAGUAGCUUUUCUCUCUUUUUCAUCUUUUCUUUGGUGGAAUUGCUUUUUCGUUUCCACUAAUCAGCCUGAGUGGAUGCAAGAUAACACCUUUCUCUAUAGCUCAGAUUGCAAAGUCGUCUUCAUGAAAGUUUUUCCUUAUCUUGUGAACUACAACAUAUCCAAAUUUGAGAGAUCCAUCGGAGUAGUACAACUUCAGAAAUUCAAGUAUGAUGAGUAACUGUUCAUCAAUGUUCUGUUAAUCCGUCAGACUUUGUUGUGAGCUUCGAAACUCCAUUUUCUCUUGUUCAGAUCAACAUACUUUCUUCAUCGAAGUUGUUCCUUAACUUGUGAACUACAACAUAUCCAAAUUUGAGAUCCCUCGGAGCAGUAUAACUCCAGAAAUCCAGGUAUGAUGAGUGACUGUUAUCAUUUGUCUGUCAACCCGUCAGAUUUGUUGUGAGCUUUGAAACUCCAUUUUCUCUUGCUUCAGAUCAGCAUGCUUUCUUCAUUGAAGUUGUUCCUCAGCUUGUGAACUACAACAUAUCCAAAUUUGAGAUCCCUCGGAGCAGUAUAACUCCAAGAAAUCCAGGUAUGAUGAAUGACUGGUUAUUAUUUUUCUGUCAACCCGUCAGAUUUGUUGUGAGCUUCGAAACUCCAUUUUCUCUUGUUCAGAUCGGUAUGCUUUCUUCAUUGAAGUUGUUCCUCAUCGACUCUUUCAUAACAUAUCAAAAAUUCAGGAUGAACUAACGGUUAAAUAUUUCCAGAUCUUCGAAACAUCACAACAGCUUCGAAAUCUGCAAGAAGCCGACUAUCAUGUUUGGAGCUUCAACACUUUAAUUUCCGUCGCUCAAACAGAAAUGGUUCCUUCUUGAAAGUUGUUCAUAUGCUCAAGAACUAUAGGGUGUCCAAAAUUCAGCUCCAUUGGAGAAGAGCAGAGGUUGCAGAAAUUUGAUAGAUGAAAGGAGGCGGAAGAGGGAGAGAGAGAAAAAGUCUCUUGGGUUGGAUUUCUAUUUUGGGGCAGAUUCCAAUUUUUGUAGCACCUUCAUUAUUGAUGAAUUGCUUGUACUUUUGUCCAUUAUGAAACUUUGGGACUUUGGCUUGUUGUUGGAUCUAUUAUAAUAUGUUUGGGAACAUAUAUAAGUGAAUAAAUAAGAAGGAAAAUUUUGGGCCCUUGUGGGUGUAAAACAAAAAAUGUUUAUGUUUACCCAAGUGUUUUUGUACAAGUUCAAGGGCAUCUUGGGUUUUGUGAACAAAAUUUGUUUAUUUGGAGCAAGGUUUUGUGUUGAAGCUUUGUAGGUGAAGCUUUCUAGGUGAAGCUUUGAUGGUGAAGCUUUGUAGAUGAAGCUUUGUAGAUGAAGCUUUCUAGGUGAAGCUUUGAUGGUGAAGCUUUGAUGGUGAAAGUAUGUAGAGGGAGCUUUCUAGGUGAAGAUUUUUUAGGUGAAGCUUUGUAGGUGAAGCUUUUUUAAGUGAAGCUUUUCGGGUGAAGUUUUUUUUUUUGGGAAGCUUUGUGGUGAAGCUUUUUAGGUGAAGCUUUGUGGGUGAAGCUUUGGAGGUGAAGCUUUUGGGUGAAGCUUUUUGGGUGAAGCUUUUUAGGUGAAGCUUUGUGGUGAAGCUUUUUAGGUGAAGCUUUGUGGGUGAAGCUUUGGAGGUGAAGCUUUUCGGGUGAAGCUUUUUGGGUGAAGCUUUUUAGGUGAAGCUUUUUUGGGUGAAGCUUUGGAGGUGAAGCUUUUCGGGUGAAGCUUUUUGGAUGAAGCUUUUUUUUUUUUUUUUUUUUUUUUUUUUUUUUUUGGCGCUUGACACGGUCUUCAUUUGCUUGUUUUGUAGUGACUGUGGAAGACGGAUUGCUUUCUGAUUGAGAAGGGUUCCGGCAUCGCUUGCUAUGAAUGUAAAAGAGUGAGGGCUGAGUUGGCUAAAUUACCUCUUUAUUGAAUUCAUUGCCAAAUGGCCUUCAUUACAUAGGAUGCCGAACGGCUAUAGCUCAACACUUGUACAUCGUGAGUCUAUUUGUAGUAGUACUUCAAGUGAUCAGCGUUCCAUGGAUGGCCAAGGGUCUUGCCAUCGGAGCUUCUAAGUGUGUAAGAGCCAGGGCGACUGAUGCCAAUGACUUCAUACGGUCCAUCCCAGUUUGGACUAAGUGUGCCUUCACUCGGGACUCUGUCGCAGAGUAAUCUUUUCUUUAAGACCCAGUCUCCUAUUUUGAAAGAACGAGGCUUGACCCUAGAGUCAUAAUAGUUGGAGAUGCGCUGCUUGUAGGCGACAUUCCUCAAGUGAGCUUGGUUUCUGUGUUCCUCGACUAAAUCCAAGUUGAGGGUGAGUUGUUUGUCAUUUUCACUUUGAAUGUAGUUCUGGACUCGGAAUGUUGCUUGCUCGAGCUCAACAGGGACAACCGCCUCUGUGCCAAAGGCAAGUGAGAAUGGAGUUUCUCCUGUUGAAGUCCGAUAUGAAGUGCGAUAUGACCAAAGAACUUGGGGUACAAAUUCUGGCCAACAGCCUUUAGCUUUGUCCAAGCUGGUUUUCAAAGUGCGCUUGAUUAUUUUGUUGAUGGCCUCAACUUGUCCAUUAGACUGGGGAUGAGCUGGAGAGGCAAAGCAUAAGUUGAUGUUGAACUUAGAGCAGAACAACCUGAACUUCUUGUUGUCAAACUGUCGCCCAUUGUCAGUGACUAUCGCAUUGGGAAUGCCGAAUCUACAAAGGAUGUUCUUCCACACGAAGUCUUCUAUCUUUGCCUCAGUAAUGGUUGCCAAGGGUUCUACUUCGGCCCACUUUGUGAAGUAGUCCACUGCAACGACUGCGUAACAGACUUUGCCCUUCCCUGCCGGCAUUGGGCCGAUCAAAUCAAGUCCCCACUGGGCGAAGGGCCAAGGGCUGAUCAUAGGAGUAAGAGGCUCUGGAGGGGAAUGAGGAAUAGUUGCAUAUCGUUGACAUUUGUCACAUGAGCGGGAUACUUUGAUGGCAUCCUGGUGGAGUGUUGGCCAGUAAUAUCCUUGGCGAAAAGUCUUGUGUGCUAGGGACCGAGAUCCAGCAUGAUCUCCACAGACUCCCUCAUGUAUUUCCCGAAGGACGAUUUCCGCCUCGGCAGGCGUAAGACACCUUAAGUAUGGCAGGCUAAAACCUCGCUUAUAGAGUUGAUCAUUGAUGAUCAGGUAGCGGGUAGACUUGUAUCGAAUUUGCUUAGCCUGGACUUUAUCAUUUGGGAGGGUGCCAUGAGCAAGGAAAUUAUAGAUCGGGGUGAUCCAACUAUCCCCCUGUUGUAAGUUGCAUACUUCUGCGGCCAUGGUGCUUGGUGUUGCCAACAGUUCGACAUGAAUUUUUCUUCCAAUCUUGUCUUCCACAGCUGAGGCGAGGCGAGCCAGGGCGUCUGCAUGACUGUUUGCCGCUCGAGGAACUUGGGUGAUCUGGUAGUGGAAGUGCUUGAGCAAAAGUUGUGUUUGCGCAAGAUAUGCUGCCAUGGAGCUGUCCUUAGCAUCAAAGUUGUUGGUAACCUGGUUGACCACUAAUUGGGAGUCACUGAAAAUAUCAAUUUGUUUAACCCCGAGGUGUUUGGCCAAACGUAAUCCUGCUAGAAGGGCUUCAUACUCGGCCUCAUUGUUUGAUGCCUUGAAUUUGAAACGAAGAGCAUACUCCAUUGCUACUUUGUCGGGCGUAGUCAAGACUAGUCCCGCUCCACAGCCCUGUUGGUUGGAUGAGCCAUCAACAUACAGACUCCAUGCUGAGGUCGUUGAUUCUACUUUCUGAGCUUCCGAUGGUAAUGAAGCUACUGCUUCAGGUGUAGAAGCAAUGUCAACAGGAUAUGUGAAGUCGGCGAAUGAAAUCUGCUACUGCUUGGCCUUUUUCGGCUGGUUUUGGUUGGUAGGAGAUGUCAAACUCACCCAAUGCUAUCGCCCAUUUGAUCAUUCGCCCAGACGUGUCAGGACUUUGGAGUAUCUGUCGAAGAGGGUGAAUUGGUAAGCACGAUGAUGGCGUGUGCUUGGAAAUAAGGGCGAAGUUUCCGAGCAGACAUGACCAAUGCUAGAGCCAAUUUCUCAAUGUUGGAGUAGUACCGUGUCUCCGCAUCUUGUAAGGCCUUUGCUAGCGUAGUAGACAGGGCCGUUCGACACCAUUGUCCAUUUCGAAUGAGAACAGGAACUUACUGGCUGAAGCUGAUACCGAUAGGUAGAUAAUGAGAAUGUCUCCUACUUCGGGCUUUUGGAGAGUAGAGGGGCUUUACUCAUGUACUCUUUGAGGUUUUUGAAUGCCUCGGCACAUUCAUCAGUCCAUGUAAUGUACUUCCUACUUCCCUUAAGUGCUUUAAAAAAGGGAGCACAUUUGUCUGUGGCCUUAGAAAUGAACCUGGUUAAGGCUGCCACCUUGCCAGUAAGGCUCUGGAUGUCCUUUGAAGUUACCGGUUCCUUCAUGUCGAGGAUUGCUUUGAUCUUCUCAGGGAUUAGCUUCAAUGCCUCGUUGGCUAAUCAUGAAACCUAAGAAUUUGCCAGAGCCUACGCCGAAGGCACAUUUGUUGGGGUUUAACCUCAUUCGAUACCUCUUCAAAAUAGUGAAAGUUUCAGAUAGGUUGGUGAUGUGUUGGUCAGCAUGUUUGCUCUUGACUAACAUAUCAUCAACGUAAACUUCCAUGCUCUUCCCAAUCUGCUCGGCGAACAUUGAGUUGACUAGUCUCUGAUAAGUCGCUCCUGCAUUCUUUAGGCCGAAAGGCAUGACUUUAUAGCAGUAUAGUCCUCUGUCGGUAGUGAAGGCUGUGUGUUCUUGAUCCGAAGGGUUCAUGAGGAUUUGGUUGUAUCCUGAGUAAGCAUCCAUGAAGCUCAGGAGUUCACACCCGGCCGUAGAGUCUAUAAGUCUGUCAAUAAGAGGAAGAGGGAAGCUAUCUUUCGGACACCCUUUGUUUAGGUCGGUGUAGUCAACACACAUUCUCCACAAGACCUUUUGAAGCAAAAGACUUUCUUUGGUCGGAUUUUUCUUAACAAGGACCACAUUUGCUACCCAUGUCGGGUAAUUGACUUCGCGGACAAAGCCUAUGCCUUUGAGUUUUUCAACUUCUGCUUUCAUUGCCUCGUAUCGUUCAGCGUCAUAAGAUCUUCGCUUCUGUCUCACCGGCUUGAUCUUGGGGUCAAUACUCAAACGAUGACAGAUGACAUCGGGAGAGAUGCCUGGCAUGUCCUCGUAUGACCAGGCGAAGACUUCAGUGUUCUCUUUCAAAAAAGAUAUCAAUGCUAACCGAAGGGGUGGUGACAAUGUGGUGCCAAUCUUCACCAUGCGAUCUGGAUAAUCUCUUGAGAUAGGUACCUUCUCCAACUCUUCAGCAGGUUGGGCUUGCUGGGUGAAAGAGUCAUCUCGAGGAUCAUCGGGUUGAUUGUUGCUAUCAGGAAGAUCCAAGUUCGCUUCAUCUAGGCUGGUCUUUGUGACUUGGUCAUGUACAGACAGGGUUUCCUUGGGUCCGGGCAAGUGUUGUUGCUUAACUGAAGUGUUGUAACAUGAUCGUGCACUAAGCUGAUCUCCUCUGAUGUAGCCGUUGCCAUGGGGGGUUGGAAAUUUCAUCAACAGCAUAUGCGUGGAUACCAUAGCCUUGAGAUCAUUGAUGCCUGUGCGCCCAAAGAUGACAUUGUAUGCCGUUGGGCAGUCAACCACUAGGAAGUUAGUGGUAAUGGUAGCCGUGUAAGGGCCUGUACCAAUAGUAAAGGGUAAAUGUAUGCUCCCUAAGGGUUGCACGAUAUCACCGGAGAAGCUUAUCAGAGGAGAAAUCGAGCGAUCGAGCAAGUGUUCAGCUACACUGAGUGCCCUGAAAGCUUCGGCAAACAUGAUAUUGACCGAAGCCCCUGUGUCUACGAGGAUUCGUCGAACAUCAAAGUUGGCUAUGUGAGCCUCCACGAUCAAUGGGUCGUUAUGAGGGUAGAUGAUGCCUCUUUCUUCCUCAGGGUAGAAACAUAUCGGAUCCCAGUUAGGCUUUUGAUACUUCCCUCCCCUGAUGUCUUCCACGUGAAACACUUGGUGACCAGGCCUCAGAAUUCGUUCACUGUUUUUCAUGGCCCUAUUGGAAGAUUCAGAUAUGGGUGUGCCGCCGCUUAUGGAAUAUAUGACAUUCACCUGGCGUUGGUUACGGUUAUCCCUUUGAGGGUGAAGGAGGAAUUGAUCAAUUUUUCCUUCUCGUGCCAAAGCUUCAAUACGAUCACGGAGGAUGAUACAUUUCUCGCUAUCAUGGCCGUUAUGCUCAUGGUAGCAACAAAACAUGCCCGCGUUAUUCGGGGGCGUGUAAUCUGGGUGCCUCGGCUUUGGCUUUGGUAUCAGGUGAGCUAUGCUGGGGUAAAUGGCCGCGCAUGUGGCAUUCAAGGGCGUGUAUGUCUCAUACCUUGGGGUAGGGGGUAUCUUGACGCGGGUUUGACCCACUGCAUUGACUGCCUGGGGGCGAGCGUUAUUGUGGCGAUACCCUUGGUUAUCGGGAUAGUGUCCCUUACUCUUUUUACUGAAAUGAGAGUGGUGAGGAUGGAAAUCCUUCCUCUUGCCUUGAAAUUGAUAUGUCUGUUGAUUCGGCGAAGCAUUAUGCAAGGCAUGGGGAGGUGCCACUGCUGUUUGGAAAGUCGAGGUCUUCUCAUUUAGGUGAGUCUGGCUUCCACCUCCCACUUGUUGAUAAAGGAUGGUUGUAGGGGGUUUCUCCUGAUAUGUCUUUGCCUCGGCGGAGGCAUGGUUAUAAGCCUGCGCCAUCACCUCAGAGUAAGUCUUCCAAGUAUUGGCAUUGAUCAUGUAUUUAAAGAAACAAUCACGUAGGCCUGCCGUGAAGGCUUUGAGGGCAGUCUUGUCGUCUGCCUCGGCACACCGGGAGUAUUCAUGGCUGAAGCGGCCAGCAUACAUACGUAAUGACUCGUCUGGCUUCUGGCGGAUAGUGUACAGGUCAUCUGCAGAGUGCAAGCGAUCGGUUUGGAAAAUGUGUUGGGAAACAAAUAGUUUCCUCAAUUCCUCAAAUGAGUCUACCGUCUCAGGUGUAAGACGACAAUACCAAUUUAGAGCUCCGCCAGAGAGGGUGGAGGGGAAGAGAAGACAUCGCUCUUCGUCGGUGUGCAUCCGGUAUGCCAUGGUGGACUCAAAGAGGUUAAGGUGCUCAAUCGGGUCCUCUUUUCCAGUAUAAAGUUGCAAGCCAAGCUUUUGCUUUGUCUUUGCUUGAAGGGGGGUGUUGAGGAUCCUCCUUGUAAGAGGGCCAGGCCUGGGUUGGUUCCAGUCAGGUAUUUCAGCCUGACGUUCAGCCUUCAACUUGUUUACUUCCUCAAGAAGUUGUAGGACAAGGGGGUCCUGAGCGGAGUUAUGUGUCCACUGGAGCUUUCUUUCGUAAAUCUCCAUCUCCUCUUGGAAUUAGGAAGGUUUGAUCAAGGGCAUGUGAUUUUUCCCUGGACUCGUUGUACUGGCUUCCAGGGUAUGUCUGUCGGAACACCUCUGAGUCCCCUGUACCCUCAUGUCUCUCUAGGACUUGUUGCCCCUUCCCCAAAUUGGUGGCCGGCUCGGGCCGUGGCAGGGGACCGAGUCUCUCAGAAAUCCUUGGGUCAUUGAUCUUUGAGCUUAUAUGGAUGGAAUUCUCUCGACGUUGCUUCAGGAAAUCCCGACAAUCGCGAAAGACGGCUUUCGAUCCUUCUGCCCCUUCAGCAAAGAGGUGUCUCCCUCCACUUCUCAUGGUUCGGGUCGAAGCAACUGGGUUAAGAGAAGCCUCAUGUUGAUUAUCAAGUCGAGGGGUAAUCUGUUCCCUAUCAGGGAUAUCUAUGUCGAAUGCAUGUGACCCUCCAUGUUGGAGGGCACCCAGUUGAUGGUUGACUUCCACGGGGGCAACAAGCUCGCGUGUCUGAGCUUGCCUAGCUUCGUGGAGUGUCUCGAAGAGCUUCUCAUAUUGCUCCUGGAGGACCUCAUUCCUCAUUGCUAUCUUGUUGUUCUGAGCUUCCAACUCAUCGACUUUAGCUUGAAGAAGAACUCGUUUUCCUUCCUUCUUUCGUUGCUUUCGCACUAUGUGCAAGGGGGGUGUCAUUCUGUGUGCUGUGGCUUCCUUCGCUUCCCAUGUUGGAGAGGGAUGCCUGGUCAAAAGAAAGUGUACGAAUGAUAGAAACCAGCUUGACACAGCUGAAGAGAGUAGGAAUAAGUGUCGUUUCCCACAGACGGCGCCAAAUGUUGAUGCACAAAAUCAGCGAAGACUUUGGUACAACAGAAAGUGUCAGGUUUUGUGACCUUCGCUUGGUUGCUUCCGUCACUAGUGAGGAUAAGUACGUAAAUGAAUAGAGACAGAGAAGCAAACACAGGAUGUACGUGGUUCACCCAGAUUGGCUACGUCCACGGAGUAGAGGAGUUCUUAUUAGUAGUGAAGGGCUUACACAAGUACAAAGGAUCAAGCUCUCAAUUUAGUGAGUUCUUGUGAAUGAUUUAACACAAAAUGGCAUUAGGCAAUAUUGUGGGGGAAUGACCCCUAUUUAUAGAAAAACUUGUAGCUUUGUCACAUUGACAUGUGUCAUGUUAUGAUUGGUUCUUGAUGUCGACACGUGCUGCGCUCUGAUUGGCUUCUAAUCUUGACACGUGUCAAGUAGUGAUUGGCCUCCUGGUCGGAGGGGAACUCUUCUGGGUCCUUGACAGUAUAGCGUUGGCCGGUGCUCGGUAGUUUCGGGAUUGGUCAAGUAUGGUACAAACAAGCUGCAUAUUCAGUUUUUCGGAAACUAGCAAACUAAUUAGGUAGGGGAAUGUUAUAACGUCUAUUAUGGGGGAAUACAUCUCCUAGCAAUCAAUCCUUGGGCGCUGAGAGAAUGUAAUAGCCCACAUCGCCCAAGGGUGAGGAUCUUGUAAGCCUUAUAUGUAUAUUCUCAUCUCUACCUAGCACGAGGCAUUUUGAAAGCAAUACCAGGAUGGGCGACCCACUGAGAAGUUCUCGUGUGAUUUCCCAGAAACAAAACCGUGAGGGCGUGGUCAGGGCCCAAAGCGGACAAUAUCGUGCUACGGUGGAAUCGAGCCCGGGAUGUGGUCGGGGCCCGAGGGUUACCCAUCCUGGGAUUGCUCUCGCGCGAACCGCUUAACUUCGGAGUUCCGAUGGAACCCGAAGACAGUGAGUAGCGCGAGAGAGCAAUCCCAUGAUGGGUGACCCAUUGGGAAGUUCUGAUCACGUGAGUUCCCAAAAACAAAACUGUGAGGGAGUGGUCAGGGUCCAAAGCGGACAAUAUCGUGCUAUGACGGAGUCGAGCCCGAGUUAGGAUGUGACAGAGAAGCCUUGCGCUAUAAGGCGUGCUUUGUAUCGCACUAUUUCAUUCUUCUCAUUACGCUUCCUCACGAAAACCCACUUGUAGCCAAUGGGCUUCAUGCGUGGUGGUGUAGGAACGAUAAGUUUGACCUGGAUUGCUUGUUUCCAGGUUCUACGUUGGCAUUCAUCGACGGAACGUGGUUCAAUGUUUUCCUUUUUAGUCAUUAAAACCCACAAAACAAAAGAAAUAAUAUCAUUUUUAAAUAUCUGAAAGAAAUAAAAGUCACUAUAUACGUUGCCCAAUUGAUCUGUAUCGAAGAUACUCAACAAUGCAAUUAAUCAGAGAACAUGAUUUUAAGCCAGUAAUUACUAUAUCAUUAUUAUUUGAAAUUGAUUUUUGUUGUUGGCUUAAUUUACUAAAUCUUUAUAAAGGAUGGAGAGAAAGAGUGUGGAGGCAAUAGAGAGAAGAGAGAGAUGUGUAAUUGUGAGAUGUGUGUUAUGACACCUAUUGUGCCUUUAUUUAUAGUAGUAGGAAAGGUAAAUUCCUUACCCUAAUAGGAUUACAACACUAAUAUGAUAAUGUAUAGUCUAAGAGAUAUCCAAGAUAUGAUAGGAUUUACAUAAUGACUUUCAUAAUCUAAUAGGACUGCAACAAUUUUCAUUUUUUGGGUCAUUUUUGGGUCAUCCUUUUGAUUAUGGUGCAGUGUUUCUUUUCUUUAUAUUUUUCUUAUAACAAAAAAGGGACUCCUUUUUGCCCUCCAAUUUAAUUGUUAUUCAUUAUAAACGUAGUUUACAUUCCAAGUUAAUGUGACAUAUGUUAAUCUCUCACUUUUCCAUUUUUUUUCCAGUGUUCUAAAAAACGGCCUAGGCGGCCGCCUAGGCGCUGGGCGCCUAGCAACCGAGUUGUUUUUGGGCAAAUCGGGAGGAAAAAUCGGGUUGGGCCUAGGCGGGCUAGGCGGCGCCUAGGCGGGCUGGGCGGCUAGGCGGGUUAGGUGGGCUAGGCGGCCCUAGGCGGUCCUAGGCGGUCCUAGGUGGCCCUAGGCGGUCCUAGGAGGUUUUUUUUAUUUUUUAUUUUUUAUUAAUUGCGUGCUUUUUUCUUUUUUGGUUUCAUGGUGGUAUACUUAUGGAAAUGGUGUAUCUAAUUUGCAAAUGAUGAAUUUACUACAAGUUCAUCCAAUACUUAUGGAAAUAGUGUACCUAAUUUGCAUUUUAUCAUUAUUUUAUUAUCCAUACAAGUAUAGUUUUUUUUAGGUGUCAAUAUGCACUUAUUUACAAGAUAUACAAAAAUUUACCUAAAUCCGCCUAGGCCGCCUAGGCGCUAGCCCGCCGCCCGACUAGCGCCUAGCGUUUUUUAGAACCUUGUUUUUUUCUCAAGAUAAACACGAAACUAACGAUGAGCAUGUAUUACCUUAAUUGCCUCCUCCUAGUGCUCACCGCCUUGUUGUAUCUUUCCGUUGCUGCCACCUCGUAUGGAGUAGGAGGAUGAGAAGAGCACAAUUACCCUCCCAAGAACCGUUCUCUAAGGGGUGGGUACUUCUCUAUUGACAACUUGAGCGACCCACAUUUGAGGGAGAUCGUGGAGCUUGUUAUCUCCAUGUACAAUAAGAUUUAUGACAAAACACUGGUGUUGCAAAAGUUAGUUCGGGGACAUUUCUAAAUAGUGGAGGGAACCAAUUUCAAGCUUGUCAUUGCGGUUGUCAAUUCUUCUUCGAUCUAUGGUGGCCCCAUCAACUAUGAUGGCGUGUUUACCAAUUGGGAGUGGAAUGGAGAGAAAUGGAAUUGAAUUCCUCCCCAAGCAUUCUGCAGUUUACUAGCAACUGGGGAAUCAGAUUUUAUGUGGGGUCCAGCCAAUUUCAGGAUUUCAAUUUCGGAUUUCUCUGGAUUUGGAUUCCCUCUAUAGAGGUGGUAAUUGAAUUCUGGGUAGAGAGCUCCAUCACGAAUCAAAAUUUUCUACCCAAAAUACCCAUGUAUAUUCCUAAAACAACUUCUACCUUCAUCAAUCACUCUCCUCUGUAUUUGUUUCUCUCACAACUCAUACCACCCCUUUGUAAUCUGAAACGCAGUAACACAGAAUGACGAACGCCUGCGAUUUGGAACAACGAUCGACCGGGGUUUGAAACGACGACACAACGACGAACAUGAUCUGGAACAACGAACGCCCAAAUUCUCAAGGAAAUUGCGAUUUGUAGACUCAAACAAAAGAGAAGGAAAGAACUUUUAUCACUUUCACCCCUGAAAAUUGGAUUUUUUUUGUUGAUGGGAUGGGUCGUGGCUUCGUAGUUCCUCCUGAGAUUGGAUAGUGGGGUGUGGAUACUGCGUACUGGUGAAAGAAAAGGGCAAGAAAGGGGAAAGAAAAAGAAUGGGGAAAGAAAGGGGAAAGGGUUGCAGAAAAAGAAUGCGGAAAGAAAGGGAGAAGAGAGAAGGAAGUAAAAUGUUAUUUAGUUUACUUUAUGUAGGUAUUUCUAAUAGGAUUUAGGGUGAUUAAGGGUUAGAAGCAAAUAAAAAUUGAUUCUUUCAUAUCAAAUUUGAAGUAAUCUAUGCAAUUAGGAAAAUUUAAAAGUUAUAUAAAAGAAAAAAAAUUAUUCUCUUUAGUAAAAAAUUAAAAAAAAAAUAAAAGAAUAAAAGUUUUACUAAAAAUAAUUAGCAUAUAAAAUAAAUUAGUUAAAAUAGGGGCACUUUAGUAAUCACAUUAAUUAUCAUUCCGAUUCAUGUGAAUUAGUAAAUAGUUUGUAUACAUCAAUGUCAUUCCUACUCCGAUUCUAGACAAUUUUGGUAAACAAAUUCAACAGGAAUCUAAUUCUGAUUCCACCUCAUUCCAAUUCCUCCUCAAUCCAAUUCCUCUUAAUCUGAUUACGGAUUAGUAAACGUGCCCUGAGAUCAUUGUGUUCGAGAAUCUUUGGAAGACUAUUAGUAUUAAGGAACUGGAGUCCUUUGUUCGAAUUCAAACUAAUAAAAAUUAAAUCCCGUCCAUCUUAUUCAUGGUCUUUGGGGUCGUUUCUCACUUCUUUCUUAUAUGAUUUGGAGCAUAAGAAAUUAAGCAUCUGCUAAUAAUAUACAAGUUACUUUUACAUAACAUGUCAUAAGUUCGAUUUCUGACGUUGGUGAAUCACAAAAUGGUGGCCAGAGAAAGCCUGAAAUGCUUACAUAACUCUUUCCAGUUAAAAAAAAGAUGGAUUACUGUCAAAGCGACGAACUGAUCCUUUUUUUUUUUCUAAUAAUAAAAAAAACAACUCAAUUCAUCACUUUUCUCGACUUCUCCUUGAACCACUUUUUUAUAUUUUUUAUUUUUUAUCCAUAACAAACAAUAUUCUAUUUUUGUGAAAUAACCAACAAAUGAUAUAGAAAAGGGAGAAAUUAAAUUAAUCAACAAACACGAAUAUAAAAAGUAAUUUCAUUUUUUAUAAAGAUGUCUCCACACACAAAAAAAAGUGGGACUAAUCACCAUUCUGAGUAGAGUGGAACGGCUUGACUCUGCUACGUAGUGCCCUCAUAAAAAUUCCGUCAAAUAUAAAAAACGACACGUAGCUUUCUUUUUGUUCAGGGUGUUUUUAUCCAUAUAAUUUGGCGAAGCCUGUGACGGCGAAAAGAGGAGGAGGGACUGGAUUUUACAGUCGUAGACAACAUCAACUUCUUCUUCUUCCCCGGGUCGCCGCCGUACGUAAAGCACGACUCUCUCCUUAUAACUCGCCCCGCAGCCGUGACCUCUGCCGGGUAAGAGAUUUAUUGCCUCUUCUAUUUUUAAUUCCGCGUCGUUCUCUAAUUUAGGAAUUUGCGUAUUGAGGAUUUAGGGAUGUUGCCAUUACAAACAGAUGAAUUCGAAAAUUUCCAACUUGUUCAGUGAAUGGUUUUCAGCGAUUUUUCUCUGCUUGUUAAUUUUCAACUGUAAUCAAUUUGUAAUAGCUUCUGAAAAGUGAAAACAAAGUGAGAUUAGUAUUCACUGAAGAUUCAAAUGGACAACGAAACGAUGGAGUUCUGUCUCUGAAUAACUUCUUGCUCAGUGUAAAGUCUGUUGAUCGUUGAUGCUUUUGUUCUAACGAAAAGCGGGUGACCGGAAAAACCAAACAAUUAAAUGUGCAGAUUAAGGAAUUAACAGGUUCCAUAAAAUUGGGGAAAUCUCAUAUUAACAAAGGGCACCGUAUAAUUUUUAACCGAGGAAAAUUGGCUUAGAAUUUCAUCCCGCCACAUUUUCCAUUCCUGGGUCUCUGCCUGUUCUACAUUCUAACAUGCAGUUCCAAAUGUCACUGCUGGUUUAAUUUCUUUAGACGAUACUUUUCAUUUUUGCUGCUGCAGAAUAUUUUCGAAAUCAUUUUAAUUGAGCUUUUGGGAAGGCUUUGUUUGACAGAGCGGAAAGCGGACUGUUUGUCGUUGGCUUCAGUGUCAGCACUCUGGUUGAAGUCUUUAACAUGGUUAGCCUUAUUUUAAUCACAGUUAUAAUUUUGAUUGUUAUUUGUCUUCUCUGUCAAGUAUGGUUAAAUUUUCUUUCUGUUUUUAUUCUCAGGAAGUGUUCAGGACGGCCAUUUUGCAGCCUGGCCCACCUGAAAGGUUUGCCCUUCAGACAGUUCAACAAGUUAUACAACCUCAGGUAACAACCAUAGAUCCUUCAUGGUCAGGGUUCUUCUUAUUUAUAUUUUUUGCUUCCCAAAGAUUAAGUCCUGUGUAAAUGCAUGCUUAGCUAUUUAUGGCUUUGCUUCUCAAGACUGAAAUACAGUUGUGAUUUCAUUCUCUUUCUGUUUGCUACAUAUGGAUACACUUUUUUUGCUACCUUUGUCCUAUAAAGACUCCAAUUUCUAAUUUUCCAAUGAGUCCUUUACUUGAUUCUAGGCUUUAUCCUUGGUGUUCAGGGGAGCAUUGCUUUCUUCACAUAUAUCCUGAUUGUACAUUAAUCACAUAUUUAAAUCUUUAUUUUUUCCGAAUUUUGUUGUUUGGUCAAUAAAAAUUGGGCCAAUUGAUUUCAUUUCAUCAUGACAGAAACAAACAAAGUUAGUCCAAGAUGAGAAUCAAUUGUUAGAAAAUAUCCUUCGGACAUUGCUUCAGGAACUGGUGGUAUGUUUCUCUUUCUUGUAUUUGUGAACAGAAUAUUUUGAUUAUUUGAUUAUACUUCUGAAGUUUACUGCAUUUCUAGUUUUUUCUGCAUAUGUUAGCAUGGUGGUCAUCCACAGGAAAUUAAUGUUUGUGAUACGCUAAAAAAAGGCCUUAUGCUUAUUUGACGUCACAGUCAUGUAUUCUAUCUAAAUCUGAAGUAAAGUAGACCUUGUUAUAUACUUGAUUCCCCAUCAACCUGAACCCUCUUUACAUAUUUGACAUCAAUACAUAAUUCUCUCUCUUAUGCAUUUGGUUUUAUUUGUAAUUUUAUGUCACGUAACUUGAGAUUCUCACAGUCUUCUGCAGUACAGUCUGGGGAGCAGAUAAUGCAGUAUGGUCAAUCAAUUGAUGCUGGAGAAACUGCCCAAGGACAUAUUCCACGUCUUCUUGGUCUGUACAUGUUUCUGUUAAACUAUUGCAAGCACUUAGUUGUACGUAUCUAAUGUUCUUGACUUGCUUUUUAGAAGAAGCUUAUACACUUUCUAAUAUAAAAAUUCCUACGUGUUGUGUUGGUAUUUUGAUAUGUUUCUUGUGGUGCACUCAGCAUAAAUCUUUAAACUCUGAGAAUAAUUUAUACAUUGAUGUUUUUCUGAAAAGAAUUCGUAUUGCUAUUAAUUUUUGUGGUUUAUCUUUUGACAUUUAAAUCGCACCUAACUACUUUUUGACAAAAUUCAGAAUUGACUUCUCAAUUGUAGACCUGUAUAUCCUCUAAUGUAAACAAUAAGCUUUUUUAGGUCAGUUCUUUGCCUUACAAGAGCUACUCUAUGGAAAAUGGCUUGUUAUAUUGGUUUUAGUGAAGAAGAAAAUUGACGAGUCUUAUAGAAUGCAUCUCUCUCUUGCUCUAUCUCCACAUAUAUACUACUCUCUUCCUCUGCCUUAUACAGCUCCUUUUAUCUUCUGAUGCACCAGACGUUGUGUUGUAUCUUUGUGAGAAAGAGCAUGUCGAAGGUGGCAUGAUCUUUCAGCUGUUGGAAGACUUAACAGAAAUGUCAACUAUGAGAAAUUGCAAAGACGUUUUCGGUUAUAUUGAGAGUAAACAAGAUAUAUUAGGAAAGGUUUGUGCUUUUUAUAUGUCAAUGGAUUAUUUUUCCUUGUUUUGUUUUUUUAUUGUAAGUUUCCCAUUUUCCUUCUCUUUUACAUCCUGCUGUACUUUAUAUGGUUCUCCUCAUGCAGCCUGAGCUUUUUGCGCGAGGAAAACUUGUGAUGUUGAGAACAUGCAAUCAACUUCUUCGUCGUCUGUCAAAGGUGGUGUUACUAAUCAUAGUAGUCAUCAUUGCUUUUACAGCCAACUUUCAUUUUUGAAACUUUCCCCUCUAUUGUGAUAUUUGUUUGUAUUUCAAACACCAAAAAUUGGUAUGCCAUUCAGAAGUCACAUUUAAAGCUGGUUGUAUAAUGUUUAUAGAAAAUAACAGGUGCUCAGGUUAAUAUGUGUUGUACUUGUAAUUAUGUAAUGGUGGUUACAUAUUUGACAUCAUAGACUUGAGGAUGGGGCAUUGUAUAUUUGUGCUAGGGAGGUUCUCAUGUGUUUCUCACAUUGCUCCAUUGUGUUCCUCACAUUGCUUCACUGUGAUAAACAAAAUUUAAAAUGCGGUAUGCAAUCAUAUUGAUAUUGUUUUUCUCUCUUUUGAUUUAUGAACUAAUUUUUUGUUUUUUGAAAUUAAGUGUUUUAGCUAUUGUUGUACCACUUCAAGAAGUCCUUAUUUGAUGAAACUAUAUCCACUUCGAUGAUUAAAUUUUUCUUGAAAAACUUAUUGUUAUAGUCAUGUUGUGUACUAAUUUCUUUGAACCUGACUCAUAGGCAAAUGAUGUGGUAUUUUGUGGACGAAUUCUAAUGUUUUUGGCACACUUUUUCCCAUUAUCUGAGCGUUCAGGUACCUGUUUGUCUUCAACCCUUGUCUUCACUUGUAAUUUAAUUGCUCUCGACCCUGGUGUUCAGUUGGACUAUAUAUUCAUGUUGCUCUUAUGGUUACUGUGUGCAGCUGUUAAUAUAAAAGGAGUUUUUAACACAUCAAAUGAGACAAAAUAUGAGAAAGACCCCCCUGAUGGUACAUCCUUGCUAAUGACAGUUGCUUGAUUUCUCAAUGUUGAUGUCAACAUAUUAUUACACAUAUAUCUGUAUAUAUAUCUAGUGUGUAUAACUUUUUGGUGAGUAUAGAUCUCUUAAGCAUAUAUGUUAUCCGUUUUAUAAUUUUCAGGAAUUUCCAUCGAUUUCAACUUUUACAAAACCUUUUGGAGUUUACAGGUAAACUAUGCAACUUGGAAGCAAUACGGAGCUAGGCUUUUUAGUUAUGGUUUCCUCUUCUCCAUUUUGAUUUGAGUUUUGAGCUUAGGGAGUGUCUAUAUAUAAUGCUAAAAGGUUAUAUAGUUUGAAAUGUUGUUAAAUAUUCAUACUUUGUUUCUGUAAUUCUUCUUGUAAACUGAUAUCAGUGAUAUCAUUCAUUAUGCUAAAAACUUGUCUGGAUGGAUUUUCAGGAAAGCUUCUGUAACCCUCCUUCCUUAACUCUUGGUCCUACCAAGUGGAAGAAAUUUACAUCCGGUUUAAUGGUAAUAACAGUCUUCUGACAUCUUCGUUUUAUUUGUCUUUAUGGUAUGCCAGUUUCUCUUUAUUUUAUUAUUCACUCAAAUAUUCUUUUCUUGAAUGUCUUGUUAGGUUGUUUUGAAUACCUUUGAAGCUCAACCAUUAAGUGAUGAAGAGGGAGAUGCCAAUAACUUGGAGGAGGAAGCAACAAAUUUUAGCAUAAAAUAUCUUACAAGCAGUAAACUGAUGGGUUUGGAGGUUAGUAAUGCUGGAGUGUUGACUUAGAGUUUAAUUGUAGCAGACCAUUAUUUUGAUUAGGAAUCAAAUCCUUGAAUUUUGAUGUUUUCUGGUGAGCACAGUUGAAGGAUCCCAGUUUCCGACGUCACAUUCUUGUGCAGUGCCUCAUAUUGUUCGAUUAUCUGAAGGUAGAGUUGAACAGGUCUUAAUAUUGAUUUUGGGGAAAUAUCAUUUCACCUUCCUAAUCUCUGGGCUUGUUAUAAUGGCCCUUUUCAACUUUCUGAUUGAUCUAUUUUUCCCUAUAGUACUCUAAUAUGGUAAAAUUAACUCUUAUUUUCUUGUAGGCCCCGGGAAAAAGUGAAAAAGAUUUACCUUCUGAAAGCAUGGUCAGUGUUGUAGUUAUAUCUUGUUGACUUUUGUAACUUUCUUCCUUCUUCUUUUGCUUUCAUUAGAAAAGAAAACAACUUUCCUCAAGUGGUGCUAUCUUUAGAAAGAGAAUUUACCUCGGCGGUGCUGGUUAUAACAAAAGAUGUUGACAAAAAAAAAAAGGAAUAAAUUGAGAUGCCUUAGAUAUGUUAUGAUUUUGUUAGCCUUGUUUAUCUCCAAAGUUAGGAAUUUGGAACAACGGUGGAUUAGAGUACUACAAUCAAAUCUCACCUGUAACUUUAUAUCAAUGUUCUGUGCUUGUGUUCGCUUAUGAAUGCAGUAUUACUAUUAUCCCAGUCAUUUGCAUCAGUUUUGUUAUCGUUUCUUCUCAAAAAAAAAAUGCUAAUUUACUCAUGCAAUUCUAUAAGUUUAUUGUAUUCAAAAGCAACUGAUGGUCCCUGGGUAAUUGAGUUGUGCUUGGGACUUUAUCUUAUCUUUAUUAAGAUGCAAAUGGACACCGCUUACAUUUUCUUUAAGCAUGAAAAAUUAAUGAAUUUGUGUAGUAUACCUUUCAUUGUGAACUGGUGGAGAGGAUUUACUUUCAUUUGGACACAGUUAUAGCAAAAGGUUUUGUAUGAUGCUAUAAAGUCAGCUUUAGAAUAUCUGUGCAAUUUAUGAUGUCUGCUAAAGAUUUCCUUGUUGAUUUCAGAAAGAGGAAAUAAAAUCUUGUGAGGAGCGUGUCAAAAAGCUGCUUGAGAUGACUCCGCCCAAAGGGAAGGAAUUUCUUAAUAAAAUUGAGCAUAUAUUGGAACGUGAAAGGAAUUGGGUGAGUGUGUUAUCUGGCCUCAGCCAUGCUAUUCUCAGAAAAUGUUAUCGUUGUUCUUGAGCAUAAUAUGCAUUUAAUCUAUUCUUAGGUGUGGUGGAAAUGUGACGGUUGUCCCCCAUUUGAGAAGCAGCCAAUGGAGAAAAAGGUGAUCCAAGAAGGAGCCAAAAAGCGGUAUGCAAUUCAGUGGCCUGUUUGUCUGGGUCCUGCUAUUCCUUUUAAUGUGUUUUUUAAUAAGAAAAAAUUGAACAAUUUUAAUUUUUCCUUUUGUGUAAGGUCUACAUAAGAAUAACUGAAGCAGAUAGAAGUAAAUUCAUCCUUUGUUUUCUAGCCCUGCUGGGCAAUUCUACUUUAGUUAUUCAUGGCCUUGGGAGUAGGUUUAUCUUUUAUGUAUGUUUUAGAUCUCUUUAUUCUAAACAGUGAUGCAUAUUUUGACUUGUCGUUUUGAUGUUUCGAUUUUUUUUGUUUCUGAAGUUUUGGGUUACUGGUAUCGACACAGGUGUAUAUUGUUUAAACCUUUGAUGUGUAGUAUUAAAGACAUUUCUAUCAGAUCUCAACUUUAUCUCUGGAAAUACUAAAGACAUUGCUGUAGAAAACUUCUAUGGGAAUAUUAACAACUUCAGAGAUUCCAGUGAUACUACCAUUUUACAUAACAGAGCAAGAACUUGGAAAUUGGUCAAAAUUGCGGUGACAUCUUUGGAAAUAUUAAAGACAUUCCACUGGUCCUCAAUGAUAUUGUACGAAGGAAUAAGAUUUACACAUUUUUUUGGCAGAACCCUGCCACCCAUAUGCUGCCCUGAUACCAGCUGAAACUUCUGUACUCACUUUCACUAAGAAAAAAGGAAACAAAACUAGACUGUUUUUGAGAUGAGGUCUUCUGACCAAGUGCAGAUGUUUUGCCUUGUGGUGGAGAUUGUUUCCUCUUACUUGAAUAUACGAAAUGAUUUGGUUUGAGAGAAAGACAACCCUACCCUCAUAAUGGUAUUUAGGAUAUUUUAAAAUAAGCUACAAUCUAUGCAGAAAAAUAAACAAAUUCACAUGCUAGAUGAACUCAUGGAUUUUUGCUGGUAUAUAUACCCAUGCCUACAAAUUAAAAUUUUUGAAUUGUUCACCAACUUUUAUCAGCCUUCUGUUUGUUGUGACCUGUGAAGAUAUUUAAUAAAUUUGCAGUGCUCAUUAUAAUGAACUUUUUGGUUUUUUUUUUGUCCUAAAUUCAACAGUAGGCCGAGAUGGAGAAUGGGAAAUAAAGAACUAUCUCAGUUGUGGAAGUGGGCAGAUCAGAAUCCGGUAUGCUAGAUUGCUAUUUAUGACAAGAUUGUUGAAAUAAAUCUGGCUUCAAACAUGACAUUCACAAGGUUUUGAAUAUAUGCAAUUAUUUUUUGCAACCUCCAAUGUUUCACAAGCUUCGCUGAUUCUAUAAUUAAAUAUUGAGAAAAAGUUUGAUUUAUUUUCAAGAGUGGCGGUGAUCAUCACGAGGAAAUGUACACCCCCACACUCACACGGUAUAUAUAAAUAAUUAUAUUAUCAGCUGUUAACAGAAAAAAGUUAAUAGCAUCUUGCUGAUUCUUCAUGGUUCAUACCUACUGUCCUUUCUGAAUUAGUACUUAUAUACUCAUAGAAUAUCAGUUCAGUUCUUACUAUAAAGAAGACAAAGAUUACAGAUCAAGUUGUUGAGGAAGAAACAUGUAAAUAUGUAGCAAUAUGUUCCUUUCAGUAUUGUUGACCACAAAAUUAAUUUGAAAAUUUUGGUGUUAUAUUGUUUAAUAGUUAUUUUUUCCUUGUCUAGAAUGCUUUAACCGAUCCUCAACGUGUUCGAACACCUUCCAUCACUGGGUACUGGAAGCCCUUGGUUGAAGAUGUAAGUACUAUAUACUUCUGAAUGUCCAAACUAGCAUGUUGUGUGUGUGUACUCGCGCUCACUCUUGUCCCUUCUCAUGCUAUGGAUUUUUUAUGUUCUCAGUAACUGUUUAGUAAGAUGAAUUUCUUUGAGUUACAGAUGGAUCCAGCAGCUGGAAUAGAACCUGAGUAUCACCACAAAAAUAACCGAGUGAGUUUUCUUCUGGAAUUUUUGGUCAAAAUCAGAAGACAAUCAUACAGAUAAAAGUUGGGUUGCAUUUUGACUAGGGUUCAUUGUUAAUAUAGAGUGCUAUUUUAUUUAAUAUCUGUUCAACUGUUUCACCAUGUGAUUCAAUGUGCAUUACCUCUUGCUUUUGAAUAUUAGAAUUGUUGAAACUCAAACUAGUGUUCCACUUAAAAUUUGAUUUUGUUUUAUCCAAUAGUAAAAUUUCAACAUGCAGGUUUAUUGCUGGAAAGGUCUUCGAUUUUCAGCUAGACAAGACUUGGAAGGAUUUUCUCGAGUAUGAAUAUAACUAUGUUUGCAUAGUUAAUGUAUUAUUUCAUUUUUCACUGAGCUUUACACCACUUGUGUGGAUGUCAUUGCAGUUUACUGAACAUGGUAUUGAAGGAGUUGUACCGCUGGAACUUUUGUCUCCUGAGGAGCGGUCUAAAUACCAAGCUAAACCAAAUGACAGGUCUAAACGUGCUAAAAAGGAAGAAUCAAAAGGUGCUGCACAUCAAUUAGAAGAAAGUCAGGUAUAUAAUCGGCAGUGUGUUGAAUUUCUAGUGUUUUAUUGUUGACGUCUUUGAUUCCUGUAGAAAGUUGAAUAUGCAAAUGAGGAAAUAAUAUGAAUAAUGUGUAUGUGUUUGUGUGUGCGUGUAUAUUGCCGAUGAGAUUUAGAAAGAAACAUCUUUAUUAUUUAGACAUAACGUUACAUGGCUGCAUAACACUUGAUCUGUGCAAUGCAUCUUCAGCCUAAAGAUUGAAAAAAUGAGAUGAAAAAUGUUAUAAACUUUUGCCCCUUUAUUGUUGUAUAUUUCGUGUUCUUUUUUGUCUUGGGGUAUAGGUUGUUUUCAAAUUUGAGAUCAAGUAAAUGCAUGUGUACGUAUAUGGAAGUAUCAGCAUUACUUGUACCCCAAGAAUUUUGACAAUAUUUUUUUCCCUGAAGAAUGCUACACCUGCAAGUGAAUUAGACGGUGAAGCCUCAGGGACGCCAAUGGACACUGAUACCAUUGCUGCAGCCGGCAACAUGUCCCAAGGUGGAAGUCCAAUCCCUGAUGAACAUCAGAAGCAAAGCUCCGAUGCGGAUGUGGGUCAAGAGGGAGGUCAGUUGGAAGCAGAUGCCGAGGUCGAGGUUGAGGCAGGGAUGCUUGAUGGUGAGGACGCGGAGGCUGAUUUGGAUCCAGUUGGUUAGCCCGUUCAAAGUUGGGAGUUUGCAUAUGUAAGAAUGAAUAUUUGAUUGAAAGUAGAUGACAUGUUUGGAAAUCCUAGAUUAGCAACAAAAAUUCCGACUAAUUUUUGUAAUGAGAUUGUAUGUUCGCCGGCCAAUGAAUGAACCACUCGAGGUUCCGUUUCUUCCGUUAAAGGGGAUUCAUGGAAAAAAUGGAAUAUAAAGACGUGUUCCAAGAACAUCAUUGAUACGUUGCUUGCGAGUCCCUUGGGCGGUCGCAGUCAGCCAUGGGAAAAGUAAGCAAAUGAAGGCAAAUUAAAUGCCAUUCGGGUUGUUUGAUCUUCAAGCUACUUCCUACCGGGUUACAUAUCACACAAGGAUGCAUGUCUGCCACAAAUUUGACCUACAAAUCAAACCCCCCGUGACCUUUGUUCAUUAAAUGAUCUCUUCACGAGAUAUUUCUUUUCACUUGUAAGUGAGACGUCUUAGAUUUGAAUCUCGUAGAUGAUGAAUUCGAUACCAAAUUAAGUUACCCAUUAUGUGAUUUAACCGAACUUAUUUCUCUUUAGUGUAAAAUAUAUCGUUGUAUUCAAACAAAAAAAAUUAAUGAAAUGCAUAGCGAAGCUUGCGUAUUAUUUACACAAGUAUCAUUAGAUUCAACCCUACUACUUAUCAAUUACAAAUGAAGGAGAGAAAUAUCAACAAACAAUAGUAUUUAGUAACAAAGUUGUUAACAAGUUUAAGAAGAAAGCAACAAUAUCAAAGUGUCAAAGAUUUGUAACUCAGCUGAUUAAGAAUAUUUUUGUACCGACUUUUGAAUUAGUUUUUUUUACUGGUAUUUAUUAAUUGUGCAGUAAAAGUAAGACAAACAAAACUCGAGAUCUUGAACAUAAAAAAAAAAAAGGUUCGAUCGAAAAAAAUAAAAAAAAGGAGUAGGAAUCCGAGUGAGAAGAAACACACACUCUGACACCCACGACAAAACACAAAAUUCCUUCCUUUCUUCCAAAUUUCCAAUUCCAUUUUACAUUUUACAUUUUACAAAUUUACCGCACAAAAUCUAAAACCCUUUUCCCUUUCGGAUUUUCUUUCACCCAAAGCUUCACUCCACACCACCAGAUUCGUUGAUACCCCUCCGUCUGCUUUCUGUUUGUUUCCCGAGAAAGUUUUUCCAUGUUCAAUUUUUUAUUGUUCAGAUUUGGAUUAACUAAUGGCCCCUGCUUCCGAGGUUCGUUGACUUAACUUACGAUUUUCUCAAUCUUUGAUCUUUGAUAAUCUGGUGGUACAAUAGUUCAGAUCGUUUGAUUCGAAAUUUGACAUAUUUUUUUUUAUAUUAUUGAUUCAUUGUUUUAGCUCAAAAGGGUUGUCUUUGUUUUCUUGGUUAAUUGAAUUAUGAUUGUUGAUUGUUGAUUUUUGAGUAGGAAAAUCAUGGAGUUGAAAUUGGAUUUGGAAUGUGAUGUUUGAUUGGGGAAAGUGGAAUUCUUGUUGUGUGCUUGAUGAGCCAAGAUGCUGUUCAAAUCUAAGAUAAAAUGGGUUGCUCUCUUUGUCCUCAUUUUAUCUUUUGCAUCAUUGCUUCGGCACAUCUCUAUAGCAAGAUUUUCGACUGUCGAUUUAGUCCAGUAUAGCGCAUUGACCGCAUUCCAUAACGAUUUCGAUUCUAUCUCUGGGAGGCAGGUGAGAUUUUGAGUCAUUUCUCUGCCCAUCAUGCGUCUAUUUCGAGUGUAUGUUCUUGGUUGUCUUGAUGGGCUUCUUUUGUUUUUUACAAUCAUGCAGAGUGUUCCUAAUAAGAAGCUAUGGGGGCCUGUGAAGACCCUGCAGUCUUUUCAGCCUUAUGCCAACCCCCGAGGCAACUAUCCUGGUGAUCAUCUUGCUCUGUUUCUUGCAUUUGUGUAUUUUCUUAGUUUGUUCGUUUCUAGGUUUAUCAUAUUCUUGCAUGGUAUAGUUUAUGAAUUUGACAAUUUGAACCCAUUGGUGAAUCCAUUCCCUCGCAUGCAUGACCAUCUCGAAGCUAAUGGUAACUGUUAUCUUUGUUAUACUGAAUUUGAAUUGAGUUCCCUCAUUCUAUGUUCUUUUUUGUCACUGGAGGAUUUGAUAACCUUGAACCAUUCAUAUUUUAGUUGAUUGAAUACUUUUAUCUUUUUACAGUUCCAAAUGAACAGAGCAAUGGCUUCAUUUAUGCAAAAAUAUUUGGAGGAUUUGGAAAGAUAAGAUCUACGGUAAGAUUUGUCAAAUAUGUGAAAGUGAUUCUGUGAUAAUUUGUAUGUGGUGUUCAUAAAUCUUUGUUAAUUUUCUAGAUCUGUGAUCUGGUCACCAUAUCCAGGCUUUUAAAUGCUACUCUUGUCAUUCCAGACAUUCAAGAAAGUACUCGCUCAAAAGGCAUCAGGUUCUUUUUUAGUUUGCUACUUCUUUUAUGCCAGUUUGCUGCGAUCAUAUGAUUCAUUGCUUCUUAUCUCUUUUGUUUUUUAUGACUUUGCCAGCUCUCAUUUCAAGAGUUUUACAUAUCUCUACGAUGAGGUGCACUUUAUAGCAUCUCUAAAAAACGACAUAGUCAUUGUGAAGAGUCUGCCAGAUAAUCUGAAGGCAGCAAGGAAAAGAAAUGAAUUCCCUUCUUUUAGACCCAAGAAUUCAGCUUCUCCAAAUUUUUAUAUCAAAGAAGUCCUACCAAAGUUAAAGAAAACCAAAGUUAUCGGCUUGAUCAUUGCUGAUGGUGGAUGUCUGCGGGUAGCUGAUUUUCUACUAGUUUAAUAGUAUAGCCUAUUUCAAAAUGUCAUCUGCUUGAGAAAAUAUGCAUAUUCUGUUAACAUUUAUAACCACAUAUUGUCAUACUCUUUUUUGCACUAGAACUGUCACCUAUGAACCAUUGUCUAUGAAAAUAAAUAAAUGUUAUCUAAGAACCACUUAAACAUUCAUUCUCUGUCGCUUUCCUAUUGGUUGAUAGGGAUCAUUCAUUCGUAUAUGAUUAUGUUAGUAGUGAGUCUGUUUUGUUUCUUUUCACUUAGUGAUUUCUGUGUUACAAGCAUGCAUGCUUGACAAUUAAGUUUAAGUGUUGAUGCAAUAUAAUCCUAUUUUCAGUCAAUCCUUCCACCAAACAUGGCCGAGUUUCAAAGACUUAGAUGCAGGGUUGCCUUCCAUGCACUUCAAUUCAGGCCAGAAAUUCAAAUGCUUGGACACAAGAUGGUGGAGAGGUAUGAAUCUAGCAACGCACCUUUUUUCCUGAAGAUUUGAACCGAUAGAGUGAUAUUGGUGUUUAGAGAACUUGAUUAGUAUAGACUGCUCUUAGACCAUCUGAUGCAAGAUGUUUUUAAUUAAAUAGAUUUUAUUUGAAGGUUACGGUUGAGUUGGAAAGAUUAGGUAAUAGAUAGAGUUAACUGGAGGGAUAGAGUUAACCAGAAGGAUGGAGUCAACAGGAGGGGUCGAGUUAUGGAGUAAGGAAAUUUUAUCUUUGAAAGUCUUAGGUCUGGCUUUCUACAAAUUGGAUGGAAGUUUGUAUAAGGAAAAUGGAAACUAUAAGCCUAAUGGAUAUGCCUAGGUUUUCCAAGCAGUCAAAGUGAACACAUCCUCUUAAAGAGGUUCAAAGGCCACGUGAAGUUUCCUAUAAUAUCCGCUAGUGUGGUCAUAUUCUUCUAGGAAGGGGUGAGGUUUUGGUUUUUGCUUGGGGAUUGAUUCUAUCUCAUCAGAGUUUAGGGAUUAUUACUUUCGUAUAUAUUACUAGAUUAGAAGGCAGUUAUGUGAUUAUUUUGUGUCAUAGCUUUUAUUUAUGUAGCUUCUGUAGAUGAUGGAUCUUUAUUAGUUUCCUUUUUUUUUUUUUUUUUUUUUGAGAAGAAACGAUAACACUUUAUUAAAAUAAAAACAAGAAUUAAAAAAUAGUGCAUAAGAAAUCCACCAUAUAGCAAAGCUAGCUAAGACCUCUCAAAUAGAUCUGAUUACAAGUAACAAUACCUCAACCAAAAUCAUUUUACGUGGCUUCUGGUGGACCCCGUUCACUUCUUGUAAUAAUUUACUUCUAAGAACUAUUUUCCUUCAGUUGAUCAAUGUGGCUUUUAUACUCCAAUAGGUUACGUGCAUGGGGUCAACCUUUCCUAGCGUAUCAUCCUGGUUUAGUGAGAGAAACCUUGGCAUAUCAUGGCUGUGCUGAACUUUUUCAGGUAAGAUGUUUUAGCCAGUUUUAUCUUUGGUAGUUGUGAAAAUAUAAAUUGUUGAUCUACAUGCUUAGACUUUAUCAUAGUAUUAGAGUAAUAGAACCUAAGUUUGAACCACCUCCAAUUAUGAAAUUCCAAUAUUAAGUUGAGUUCCACACGUUGGUCCUUAGUGAUGGAAAGAGGUUCACAUGUGAUGGGUGUUACAACUUAACAUAAUUCUGUCCAACACAUACACACAGCUUAAACUUUCUGGUUACAAUCUUUUUCAUAUCUCUGCCUGUGAAGUCUAAGUUAGUGUUAAAACGAUUGUUCUCCUUUGUUCCUUGGUUAAAAUCUAAGUCCGAUAAAAAUUCAGUUUUGGAGUUCUCUCCCUCCUCUUGAGUACAGGUGGUUUCUACCUUAAACAACUGCAAAAUAUUAACAGCGUGUCCAUUCACUGUCAUGGUUAUCAAAGUUAUCUUGCUAACUUGCUACUUUUCUGUAGGAUGUUCACACUGAACUCAUACAAUAUCGAAGGAAACAAAUGAUUAAAAAGGGCAUUGUUCAUGAGGAACUAAGCAUAGAUUCACACUUGCGUAGAGAAAAUGGCUCAUGCCCGCUGAUGCCUGAAGAGGUAAGCUCAGUACUAAUUUGAGAUCCAGCUUAUGUAUUUGUAAAUUGUAAGUACUGUUGUGUGGCUUUUAGUCCAGCCUGAUGCUUCUUUCUCGUGGUUCAUUUUUUAUUGUUUUGAAAAUUUCACUUUUCAAUGCCAUAAGAAUGUCUAGAAGAUUAGUAGUGAACUUCAGUGCUGGUUGUGAAAUUAAGCUUCCUUGGCACUCACUCAACACUGAAUUGAUUUUAGCAGUUCAGAAAAAGCAGAACCUCAAGCAUCCUUCUAUCAAUUUCGCUUUUAAAUAUUAAAUAUUAACAUUACAAUGGGAGUGGAAUUUGUGUUUCCAAAAAUUUAUGCUCAAGUGAUAGGUUUAUUAAGUCAAGGAUGCAGACCAGAAUUGGCUUCGGUUACUAAAGAGUUUAAUAAUUGCUCUCUAUCUCAAAUACUGUGGGAUUUGUUAGCAGCAGUUAAGUGAGCUAGGUCUAGAAUUGGCUGAUGUAGCCAAAUCCUAUUGGGAUUUUCCUUUCUAAUUUGUUGGUGGACUUCUUAUCCACUUCUGUGUAUUUCUCUAUUCUUUAAUAAAAUUGUUUCUUCUCAAAAAAAAAAAAGGAUGCAGACCAGAAAAAACAGUAGAGGAUGGAAUGACGCUGAGAAUUUAGUUAAUCCAACACCAUCUAAUUCAUAAAAAUAACUUUCGUAUUUUAAUUACUUGAAAAUUUUAUUUUAAAGGAGAAAAUGAUGAAUAGACAUCGAAUAAGAGUAAGGACUGAUCCUUUCUAAAGGUAUCCACUCAAAAUAAGGAUAUGUGUCACUGUGAUUUCUACAUUACCUCCUUGACUGGCCCUAAUUGGGUCAUCACCUUGACCAAAAGCAUAAGAUAAAAAAGGGAGGGGAGGGUAGUAGAAGGAAAGAACCUGGGCUUGAAAACCCUGUAUAUUAUCUCAAGCUUGAGUUCUUAUUCCGGGGCUUGACUCAAGCAUGUUAAUACGUUUGUGAACAAGCUUGUGACUAAGAAUCAUGGUAUAAAUUUGAUCUUCUACUUAUUGUGUCAUUUUCCACUGUAUAAUUUCAGUUUUGGUGGUGCAUUGAUAACGUAUGGGCUCAUUGAUGAUAAUUAAUAAAUCAAUCUAUCUACAUUUCCGUUGUUCAUUAGCUCAUUUAUUCUUCUUGAGACUUUCCCAGGUUGGAAUUCUUCUUCGUUCAAUGGGGUUUUCUCCUAAAACAAUUAUAUAUCUGGCUGGUUCUGAAACAUUUGGGGGUCAACGUGUUCUGGUCCCUUUGCGUGCUAUGUUUCCCAAUUUAGUGGAUCGCACUUCCUUGUGCAGCAAUAAAGAAUUGGCUGAUAUACUUGGACCUGAAACACCUCUUCCGCAAAAUCCAUUUCAUCCACCUCCAGCAAAAAGCGAGGAACAACUUAAAGAAGAAUGGAAGAAGGCUGGUCCUAGGCCUCGGCCUCUUCCUCCACCUCCUGGUAGACCUAUCUAUCAACAUGAAAAAGAAGGCUGGUAUGGUUGGAUUACUGAGACUGACAUCGAACCAGACCUUUCUGCUUUGGAUCUGAGAAUGCAAGCACAUAGACUAAUUUGGGAUGCUCUUGAUUAUAUUGUCUCUGUGGAAGCAGACACAUUCUUUCCUGGUUUUAACAAUGAUGGCAGUGGAUGGCCAGAUUUUUCAAGCUUGGUCAUGGGACACCGUUUGUAUGAGGUUGCUUCUUCUAGAACAUACCGACCAGACAGGCAAGAGAAGAAAAAAAAAGAAUCUAAUUCGACCUUUUAUAUAUGAUUGAUGAUCUUGUUUAACUUUGUGUGUCCUCUUUUCGAACAGGAAAGUUGUAGCACAACUUUUCAACAUGACGAGGGACAAUGUCUACCAUCCCAAGCAUAAUUGGACACUCUCAGUGCAGGAACAUCUUAAGAAAAGCUUAAGUGAGGAAGGCCUUACAAGGCAAUCCGUUGUGUCAAAGCCAGCCUUGUUUAUUUCACACCCACUCCCCGAAUGCUCUUGUAGAAUGUCUUCUGCCGAUGCUCCAGUUCAUGUAAAAGGUAAUGAUGGCCGAACUGUAUAUGGAGGCGAAGAAGAGUGCCCGAAGUGGAUGAAGCAUGGUCAAGAAGUUCCUUUGGAUUCAGCUGGGGAAGAGGGAGUGGAGGACAAUGAAUUGUCCCAGUACGGAAGUACUCUGGACGAACAACCAGAAUCAAAUGACAGUGACAGAACUAAUGCUACUCUCUACUCUGAUCAGGACGAGGAAAUGGACCCGAAUGACUAAAGUUGGAUCUGCAUACGAUCCAGUUCCCAUCUUUUUACUAUACUGCGGCAUUCAGUUUCCAUCGUUUUCUACCAAAAUGGAAAGUUUUGGAGGUAGAGAUGACAUUAACUUCACACAAGACGAGGAUCGAGGACAAAUCGAUGCGCUUGGAGUAAGCCAAUCAGAGUUUGUACACCGUUUUACUGAUAUAAGGUUUAUAUUCAUAGAAAAAGUUAUUACUUGUUAGAUAAGCCACAUGUAAUUUUCUUGUAGAGAACAAAUGACGAGUACAGGAAAUGAUUCAUUGCGGUCUCUCAGAUAAUUUUUUGUCGAUACAUUUCAUUUCGAAAACUGUUCGCUUUCCGUUUUUUAAUCAUGCACUUGCUCGUUUGUUGGCCAGAAUUCGAGCAAAAUUUAGCGGAUUAAAACACAUGUAGCUCACACUGCCUCCUAUUUGUUCAAAUUUUGAACUACAAUGUUAGAGCUCGUUUGGAUGUGCUUUUAAAAUGAUUGAAAGCGCUUUUGAUGAAAAUGUUUUUAGAACCAAUCUUUAGUAAAAAUACAAGUGAAUUCUGAAAAACAUUUAAAGUGCUUCUUAGAAGAAGUACAUAAUUGGUGCUUCUUGCAGAAAGCACUUCAAGUGCUUUUAAAACCUAAAACAAUUUUAUCUAAAAGCACUUUCAAUCAUUUUAAAAGCACAUCCAAACGAACCCUUAUGUAGGAGAGGCUCCUCGCUGGUGCACAGAGGUCCAUUUAGAAAAUUUACUUCGCGGGAGAAAUAUGCAAACAAUCGAGGCAUAUGCCACCACCGCUCAGAGCAAUUUGUGGCUCUCUGUAUGUCACUUUCUUUAAAACUCAAAAGGGCAAAACUACUUAACCCGGAAAAAAUAUAUAGCCUCAUCAGCUCCAAAUCUAAAGCUAGUUAGAUCGAAAAGAAGGAAAUUCAGGCGGCAGCUGCAUGCUUUCUCAGAAGAAAACAAGUCUUGAAUACAGAGAAAAUAUCACAUGCAUACAACUGUAAUUUGUAAUUUCAUAUAAAAAGUUAUACAGCCUCUUUGUUUACAAGCAAAACAAAAUUUCAAGUAAUUUACAUCCUACCGAAACCUCCCAUCAUAGUCCUGUAAGUUGAUACACAUACCAACCCACUCCAGCUUACUGGGUUUCCUCUGGUACAUAUUCCGCUGCCCUAACACCCACCGAAAUGUGAGGUGUCCACACAAAACAUCAGUUUACACAUGGAUCACUUCUAAAUUGCACAACAUAAGAAAACCACACUAACAGAUUACGUUUAUUCGUUACCAGGAACACUUUAUUCAAGUAAUAUCAAACACGAAGUAUUGACCAUAGUAUAGAGAGGUGAAAUGCGCUACCAAAGAUUGCUAUGCUGCUGCUUCUGUGGGCUUCUCAGCAACAGUGGGGCUUGCACUUUCGGCUUCUUUUAUCUGCCUCAUGAUGUCUGACUUUGUCUCAAGUAGGCCUUCUAUUUUGCCAUUGAUCUUCUCUAGCUUCUGUUUCAGCUUUACAACAUCACUGCCUUUGUCCUUUUUAUCGACUUUCCUUUUCUUCUCGCCCUUCUCCCCCUUCUCCCCCUUCACCUUUUUCUCUUUAUCUUUCUUCUCUUUACCCUCCUUUCCUUCAUCUUUCUGCGUCUCCUCCUCUACUUCACACUUUGAUUCCUUUACAUUUUCUUGAGUGUCAAUCUCCCUGGAAGUAACUUCAGCCUUGACCUCCUCCUCAUCCUCUUCAUUUUUGUGUUUCUUCUUUUUGUCCUCCUUGUCUUUCUUCUUCUUUCCUUCUUUUUUGUCAUCUUUUUGCUCAUCGCUCUUCUUCUCUUUUUCAUCAUCACCGUAUUUGUGUUUCUUCUUUUUAUCAUCCUUGUCUUUCUUCUUCUCCCCUUCUUUUUUAUUGCCGUCACCUUUUACUUCAUCACUCUUCUCCUUUUCGCCAUCACCACCCUUGUGUUUCUUCUUUUUAUCGUCUUUCUUCUUCUCCCCUUCUUUUUUAUCAUCGUCACCUUUUACCUCAUCACUCUUCUUCUCUGUUUCAUCAUCACCGCCCUUGUGUUUCUUCUUUUUAUCGUCCUUUCCUUCAUCCUUACGCGUCUCCUCUGCUUCACCCUUUGAUUCCUUUACAUUAUCUUCAAUGUCAAUCUCCCUGGAAGUAACUUCAGCCUUGACCUCCUCCUCAUCCUCUUCAUUUUUGUGUUUCUUCUUUUUG